UACGGAGGGCGCCAGCGUUGUUCGGAAUCAUUGGGCGUAAAGCGCGUGUAGGCGGCUUGGCAAGUCGAGUGUGAAAUCCCGGGGCUCAACCCCGGAACGUCGCUCGAAACUGCCUCGCUCGAGUCCCGGAGAGGAAGGCGGAAUUCCCGGUGUAGAGGUGAAAUUCGUAGAUAUCGGGAGGAACACCAGUGGCGAAGGUGGCCUUCGGGACGGUGACUGACGCUGAGACGCGAAAGCGUGGGGAGCAAACAGG
rnacentral:rRNA from 1 species